GUUUCACUAAGAUGUUAAAUUGAGCUGUGAUUUGAUGAAUUUUGAUUAAUUGAGCUGUGAUGUGAUGAAUUUUGAUGAAUUUUGGUGAUUUGAUGAAUUUCUAAUACGUUCUACGCCAAUGGCUUUUGAAUUUUAAAUUUACAGGAGAAA
ensembl:ncRNA B0350.71 ncRNA